rnacentral:ncRNA from 2 species
ACUUUGACUUCAGCUUUCGGUUUUAGUGAGGAGCAGUCACUAAAAGUAAUGGGGAAAGAUUGGUGCAAAUCCAACGCUGUCCCGCAACUGUGAUUUUCUGUUGAUCAGCAGAAAAAGUCAGAACGCCCGCCGAAGCUCAUUUCAAAUC